GGUGGGAUGGCUGAGCGGUUGAAGGCGCUGGUUUCGAAAACCAGUAAGGGUUAACGCCCUUCGUGAGUUCAAAUCUCACUCCCACCG
rfam:Candidatus Falkowbacteria bacterium RIFCSPLOWO2_12_FTLL_45_10 rifcsplowo2_12_scaffold_13656, whole genome shotgun sequence.